rnacentral:rRNA from 1 species
UACAGAGGGUGCAAGCGUUAUCCGGAUUCACUGGGUUUAAAGGGUGCGUAGGCGGGUUGGUAAGUCCGUGGUGAAAUCCCCAAGCUUAACUUGGGAACUGCCGUGGAUACUAUCAAUCUUGAGUAUCGUGGAGGUAAGCGGAAUAUGUCAUGUAGCGGUGAAAUGCUUAGAUAUGACAUAGAACACCAAUUGCGAAGGCAGCUUACUUCACGAGUAUUGACACUGAGGCACGAAAGCGUGGGGAGCAAACAGG